CCUACGGGAAGCAGCAGUAGGGAAUAUUGCUCAAUGGGGGAAACCCUGACGCAGCAACGCCGCGUGGAGGAUGAAGGUUUUCGGAUUGUAAACUCCUUUUGUUAGAGAAGAUAAUGACGGUAUCUAACGAAUAAGCACCGGCUAACUCCGUGCCAGCAGCCGCGGUAAUACGGAGGGUGCAAGCGUUACUCGGAAUCACUGGGCGUAAAGCGCGCGUAGGCGGGAUAGCAAGUCAGCUGUGAAAUCCUAUGGCUUAACCAUAGAACUGCAUUUGAAACUGUUAUUCUAGAGUAUGGGAGAGGUAGGUGGAAUUCUUGGUGUAGGGGUAAAAUCCGUAGAGAUCAAGAGGAAUACUCAUUGCGAAGGCGACCUGCUAGAACAUAACUGACGCUGAUGCGCGAAAGCGUGGGGAGCAAACAGGAUUAGAUACCCCUGUAGUC
rnacentral:rRNA from 1 species